rnacentral:rRNA from 1 species
GACGAACGCUGGCGGCGUGCUUAACACAUGCAAGUCGAGCGGUAAGGCCUUUCGGGGUACACGAGCGGCGAACGGGUGAGUAACACGUGGGUGAUCUGCCCUGCACUUCGGGAUAAGCCUGGGAAACUGGGUCUAAUACCGGAUAUGACCUCCUAUCGCAUGGUGGGUGGUGGAAAGAUUUAUCGGUGCAGGAUGGGCCCGCGGCCUAUCAGCUUGUUGGUGGGGUAAUGGCCUACCAAGGCGACGACGGGUAGCCGACCUGAGAGGGUGACCGGCCACACUGGGACUGAGACACGGCCCAGACUCGUACGGGAGGCAGCAGUGGGGAAGAUUGCACAAUGGGCGAAAGCCUGAUGCAGCGACGCCGCGUGAGGGAUGACGGCCUUCGGGUUGUAAACCUCUGUCAGCAGGGACGAAGCGCAAGUGACGGUACCUGCAGAAGAAGCACCGGCUAACUACGUG